rnacentral:rRNA from 1 species
UGGGGAAUAUUGCACAAUGGGGGAAACCCUGAUGCAGCGACGCCGCGUGGAGGAAGAAGGUCUUCGGAUUGUAAACUCCUGUUGUUGAGGAAGAUAAUGACGGUACUCAACAAGGAAGUGACGGCUAACUACGUGCCAGCAGCCGCGGUAAAACGUAGGUCACAAGCGUUGUCCGGAAUUACUGGGUGUAAAGGGAGCGCAGGCGGGAAGACAAGUUGGAAGUGAAAUCCAUGGGCUCAACCCAUGAACUGCUUUCAAAACUGUUUUUCUUGAGUAGUGCAGAGGUAGGCGGAAUUCCCGGUGUAGCGGUGGAAUGCGUAGAUAUCGGGAGGAACACCAGUGGCGAAGGCGGCCUACUGGGCACCAACUGACGCUGAGGCUCGAAAGUGUGGGUAGCAAACAGGAUUAGAUACCCUGGUAGUCCACACUGUAAACGAUGAUUACUAGGUGUUGGAGGAUUGACCCCUUCAGUGCCGCAGUUAACACAAUAAGUAAUCCACCUGGGGAGUACGACCGCAAGGUUGAAACUCAAAGGAAUUGACGGGGGCCCGCACAAGCAGUGGAGUAUGUGGUUUAAUUCGACGCAACGCGAAGAACCUUACCAAGUCUUGACAUCCCUUGACGAUGCUGGAAACAGUAUUUCUCUUCGGAGCAAGGAGACAGGUGGUGCAUGGUUGUCGUCAGCUCGUGUCGUGAGAUGUUGGGUUAAGUCCCGCAACGAGCGCAACCCUUAUGGUCAGUUACUACGCAAGAGGACUCUGGCCAGACUGCCGUUGACAAAACGGAGGAAGGUGGGGAUGACGUCAAAUCAUCAUGCCCUUUAUGACUUGGGCUACACACGUACUACAAUGGCGUUAAACAAAGAGAAGCAAGACCGCGAGGUGGAGCAAAACUCAGAAACAACGUCCCAGUUCGGACUGCAGGCUGCAACUCGCCUGCACGAAGUCGGAAUUGCUAGUAAUCGUGGAUCAGCAUGCCACGGUGAAUACGUUCCC